CAUUCAGUAUUAAUAAAGAGAACUUAAUAGGAUACACCAUUAAUAGUGUUGCACGGAUCUUCAGUCGAUCAGAUAACUAAAAAGUCAUAAGCACAAAUGCUCCUGUGCUUUUAAAAGCAGGGGAGUUCAACUCUACACGUGUGUGUGUGCGUGUGUGUGUGUUAGAGAGAGAGAGAGAGAGAGAGAGUGAGUGAGAGCUAGUCUUGUGUGCUUUUAAAAGCAUGGUGGACUCUGUGUUAUCAAAUCAUUUUCGAUACUGAAAUUUCCGAAUCGACGAUUGGCUCCAUUAGAUUUGAUCUAAAAUAUUUGAAGUAUUUAAAAAAUAAAUUUUGUAAUUUUUUGAUAUCAUUUAUCUACUAAUCAAAAGGGCCCAAAAUCAAUAAUUUUAAUGGUAAUGGUGAGUCAUUUGCAAGUUUGACUGUGUAGAAAUAUUCAAUUGUGUGAAAUUUUGAUAAAUGUUUUUUAUAAAAUAUAAAACAAAAUUAGUAUCUUUGAUCUAAAGUUUUAAUGUCGAAUCAUCACCUGGUGUGAGAUUUUUAUUUUAAGUCGUUGAUUUUCAGCCUUUUUAGUCGCUAAAUAAAUGAUAUCGAAAAAUCACAAAAUUAAUUUUCAAGAUACUUUCAAUAUCUAGAUCAAAUCUAAUAGAAUUGAUCGUCGAUUUGGAAGUUCCAGCACCCAAAAUAACUUGAUAGCACAGAGGACAUCAUGCUUGUAAAAGCACACAAGAUGAAUAUAUAUGAAUUGGACUUGAAUAUUAUUAAUAAUAUUUGGACUUUUUUUUAUCGAGUUUUUAAUCUUUGGAUGAAAAAUUACAGGGUUAGGAUGAUAGUGGUCCCCCGAGGUUUAGUAGUGGUCCCCCAACAAUUGAGUGGGUGGUUAAUUAAAUAAUAUGAUCUAAAAGAUGGAAUUAAUUAAAGUGUAGAUCUACGGCUAAAAAAUUGGUAGUAAAAGAGCCCAAAUACUAUUAAGGGCGCGUUUGGUUUGAGUUAUGUAAUAUUACAGAGUAUUUCAAUAUAUCUAGGUAUUUUAGAUUUAUAAAUUAGAUUACUACUGAUGCUGUAUUAGUGCGUUUGGUUUAAUAGAGUAAUAAAAUGCUGGAUUACAGUGUUUAUAGUGUUACUAUGUUUGGUUAUGCCUAUAAAAUUUAGUAAUCUAGACAAUAAAAUAUAGUCUAUUCCAAAAUUACCUCUAGUCAUAUUUCGUAAUUUUUUUUUACUGUUUACAAACAAUUUUUUUUUACCAAAUUUUAUUUUAAAUAAUUUAAAUUUUUAAAUUUUAAAUUUUAACACAAAUAUAAAUUUAAUAUUUUAAUUUAAAAUAUAAAAUAUAAAAUUUUUAAAUAUAAAAUAUAAAAUAUAAAUAUAAAUAUAUAUAAAAUAAAAAAUUAAAAUCUAAUUUUAAAAUUAAGAAUUUAAAAUACAAAUUUGCCUUUUAAAAUUUUAAAUUUUAAAUUUUAAAUCUUAAAAAUUUGAAAUUUGAAAUUUAAAAUUUCAAACUUAUAAUUUAAAAUCUAAAAU
rnacentral:lncRNA from 1 species